rnacentral:rRNA from 1 species
GACGAACGCUGGCGGCGUGCUUAACACAUGCAAGUCGAACGGAAAGACCCUGCUUUUGUGGGGUGCUCGAGUGACGAACGGGUGAGAAACAAGUAAGUAACCUGCCCUUGACUUUGGGAUAAAUUCAGGAAACUGGGGCUAAUAACGGAUAGGAGCUCCUGAUGCAUGGGGGGGGUUGGAAAGUGUGGGUGGUGGGGGAUGGACUCGCGGCUUAUCAGCUGGUUGGGGGGGGGGUGGCUUACCAAGGCUUUGACGGGUAGCCGGCCUGAGAGGGUGACCGGCCACAUUGGGACUGGGAUACGCCCCAGACUCCUACGGGAGGCAGCAUUGGGGAAUAUUGCACAAUGGGCGGAACCCUGAUGCAGCAACGCCGCGUGCGGGAUGCCGGCCUUCGGGUUGUAAACCGUUUUCGCCUGUGACGAAGCGUUAGUGACGGUAAUUGGUAAAGAAGCACCGGCUAACUACGUG